rnacentral:rRNA from 1 species
CCUACGGGUGGCAGCAGUGAGGAAUAUUGGUCAAUGGGCGGGAGCCUGAACCAGCCAAGCCGCGUGAGGGAUGAAGGUACAGCGUAUCGUAAACCUCUUUUGUCAGGGAACAAAGGCGGGGACGUGUCCCCGGACGAGGGUACCUGAAGAAAAAGCAUCGGCUAACUCCGUGCCAGCAGCCGCGGUAAUACGGAGGAUGCGAGCGUUAUCCGGAUUUAUUGGGUUUAAAGGGUGCGCAGGCUGUAUGUUAAGUCAGUGGUGAAAGGCCCGCGCUAAACGCGGUGAAGCGCCUUUGAUAGUGGCAGGCUGGAGUGGGAGAGAAGUAGGAGGAAUGUGUGGUGUAGCGGUGAAAUGCAUAGAUAUCACGCAGAACACCGAUUGCGAAGGCAGCACAC